UACGUAGGGUGCGAGCGUUAAUCGGAAUUACUGGGCGUAAAGCGUGCGCAGGCGGUUCGUUGUGUCGGCGGUGAAAGCCCCGGGCUCAACCUGGGAAUGGCCGUUGAAACUGGCGAACUGGAGUGUGGCAGAGGGGGGUGGAAUUCCGCGUGUAGCAGUGAAAUGCGUAGAUAUUGGGAGGAACACCGAUGGCGAAGGCAAUCCCCUGGGCCUGCACUGACGCUCAUGCACGAAAGCGUGGGGAGCAAACAGG
rnacentral:rRNA from 1 species